AGUGAACGCUGGCGGUAGGCCUAACACAUGCAAGUCGAACGGCAGCACAGUAAGAGCUUGCUCUUACGGGUGGCGAGUGGCGGACGGGUGAGGAAUACAUCGGAAUCUACUUUUUCGUGGGGGAUAACGUAGGGAAACUUACGCUAAUACCGCAUACGACCUACGGGUGAAAGCAUGGGAUCUUCGGACCUUGCGCGAUUGAAUGAGCCGAUGUCGGAUUAGCUAGUUGGCGGGGUAAAGGCCCACCAAGGCGACGAUCCGUAGCUGGUCUGAGAGGAUGAUCAGCCACACUGGAACUGAGACACGGGCCAGACUCCUACGGGAGGCAGAAGUGGGGAAUAUUGGACAAUGGGCGCAAGCCUGAUCCAGCCAUACCGCGUGGGUGAAGAAGGCCUUCGGGUUGUAAAGACCUUUUGUUGGGAAAGAAAAGCAGCAGGUUAAUACCCCGCUGUUCUGACGGUACCCAAAGAAUAAGCACCGGCUAACUUCGUG
rnacentral:rRNA from 1 species